GGGAUGGCGCGGCGUGAAAUAGAGAGAGAGAGACGAAAUGGGGGAGAGGGGGCGCAGCUAGGGAGGAAGGAGAAGAAGGGUGGAGUGAUGGGCUAGGGUUUGAGAGUUGGGCUGUGAUGAGGAGCUGGGCCGAUUUUGAUUUAAUUGGCUGAUGGGCCUUGCUUUAUUUUUAGUUGGGUCUCUUUUAUUUAAAAGAUGGGCUGCAGUAUUCUAUUAAGUGGUUGGGCCGGUUUUUAUUUUAUUAACAGUUGGGCCUUUAUUUUAUUUAUCAGUUGGGCUGAUUAGUUUAAUUCAGCUGGGCCUUAUUUUAAAUCCUAAUUGGGUCAGUUUUAUUUUAAAACUUUGAGCUGUCUUGAUUAAUUAAUUAAUUGGGCUGCUCUAUUUUAAUUAAUUGAACUAUUAAUUAGUUUAAUUAAUUAUUUUCAAAGACUAGUUUUCAUAAUAAUAUUAAAUUAUUAUUAUGUGCAUAUUUUAAGUAAAUUACUUAUUAUAUGCUAAGCAUGACAUGAAAUUGCAUUUAUUUUGCAAUAAAAGUAUUUAAUUGGUUUUAAUUAUAAAUCCAAUUAUUAAAGAAAGAUGAGUAAGGAUAUUGUUGGUGUUCUUAACUCAAGAGAAUUAUUUUCAUUAUUUAUUCAUUAAAUUUUGAAAACCCGGCUAAGUGAAUCAUAGAAUUUUACGCACUACACCAUGACUUAAGAUUAGAUUCAAGGAGACCUAUUGAGAAUAGAUUUCUUGUAGGCUUUGAGCAUCAAGGGGAUUAGCACUGCUUUCCCAAGACAGGUUAUGUGAUUAUGAUCUUCAGGCUUUGCCUAUCCAGGUUGAGCAGUUGAUGGAAUGGAAUGAUGUUGAGCGGGUGUUCCUUUGACAUUUCAAGAAAUGUAACCUUGAGUAUACAUCUUCAUAUGUAUAUCUCACACGUUUUCGCUGCAAAACACUUUGAUUAGGAUAACUCUAUGUUAUGAAGUUGUUACACGUGUUAUUGGGUAACCCACCUUAAUCAGUUCUCUUUUAUGUGUAUGUUUUAUAAGUAUCCAAAUGAUCAUAUAUGAUCCUAGCUUUUUAUCUAUAAGUGACAUUUUCAUA